GACGAACGCUGGCGGCGUGCCUAACACAUGCAAGUCGAACGGAAAGGCCCGGCUUUUGUGUGGUUCUCGAGUGGCGAACGGGGGAGUAACACGUGAGUAACCUCCCCUUGUCUUUGUGAUAACUUCAGGAAACUGGGGCUAAUAUCCGAUAGGAGCUCCUGCUGCAUGGUGGUGGUUGGAAAGUUUCGGCGGUUGGGGCUGGAUUCGCGGGUUAUCAGCUGGUUUGUGUGGUAGUGGCUUACCAAGGGUUUGACGGGUAGCCGACCUGAGAGGGGGACCGGGCACAUUGGGACUGCGGUAGGGCCCAGACUCGUACGGGCGGCAACAGUGGGAAACCUUGCAGAGUGGGGCGAAGCGAGAUGCGGCAGCGCCGCGUGCGGGAUGCCGGGUUUCGGGUUGUAAACAGCUUUGGCCUGUGACGAAGCGUGAGUGACGGUAAUGGGUAAAGAAGCACCGGCUAACUACGUG
rnacentral:rRNA from 1 species